CCUACGGGGGGUAGCAGUGGGGAAUAUUGCGCAAUGGGCGAAAGCCUGACGCAGCGACGCCGCGUGAGGGAUGAAGGUCUUCGGAUCGUAAACCUCUGUUAGCAGGGAAGAACGGUCACUUAGCUAAUCAGCAGUGAAUUGACGGUACCUGCAAAGGACGCACAGGCUAACUCCGUGCCAGCAGCCGCGGUAAUACGGAGGGUGCGAGCGUUAAUCGGAAUUACUGGGCGUAAAGCGCUCGUAGGCGGUAUGUCAAGUCAAAGGUGAAAUCCCCGGGCUCAACGUGGGAACUGCCUUUGAAACUGGCAAACUUGAGUGUGUGAGAGGAUAGUGGAAUUCCAGGUGUAGGGGUGAAAUCCGUAGAUAUCUGGAGGAACAUCAGUGGCGAAGGCGACUAUCUGGCACAUAACUGACGCUGAUGAGCGAAAGCGUGGGUAGCAAACAGGAUUAGAUACCCCAGUAGUC
rnacentral:rRNA from 1 species